rnacentral:misc_RNA from 1 species
UCGCGUCUCGCUCUGUUGUCACUGUCAGUAGAUAUUUUUAACUUGCGGGGUGUAGACGUUACGUGAAUGAUAAAAACGUCGGUGAAUUUUACAAUUGAAUUAUAAAUUGUUUACAACGUUAAUCUGUAUCAACCUUGAAGAGACUGAAUAACUAUGGCUAAGAAAACUUAUAGACAUGAACAAGAGCGCUUACUGGAAACUGCAAAUGUGCGGCACGGAGGAGGAGAUGCGCGAGGUGGCGGCCAGGAUAUGCAGGAACUACCUGCACGGCGCCUGGAAGUCGGUGGACCCUAACGACCUGGACUUCAAGAGGAUCAACGGUGGUCUAUCAAACUUCAUCUACUACGUGGCGCUGCCGUCCGACCUCAGCAAGCUGGGCGGGUACGCGCGCGACAGCUCGCCGGAGGCAGACGACAACAAGAAACACAUGCUCAGCUCGCACUCCUUCUCCAUGGACGAGCCAAAGAAGGUGCUCCUCCGAAUAUACGGCCAGGUGCACGGCGAGCGCGCCAUGGACGCCAUCGUGACGGAGUCGGUGAUAUUCACGCUGCUGUCGGAGCGGCGGCUGGGGCCCAAGCUGCACGGCGUGUUCUCCGGAGGGAGGAUCGAGGAGUACAUACCGGCUCGAUCACUCAUCACAAAAGAGCUGUCAGAACCAGCCAUAUCUAUGAAGAUAGCCGAAAAAAUGGCGGCCAUACACUCUAUGGACGUGCCGCUGUCAAAGGAGCCCAACUGGCUGUGGAAGACCAUGGGCAAGUGGAUGAAGACCGCGCGCGACGAGAGAUUGGCACCCAACGCUGUUGGAAAGACGGUGGAGGAACAGAAUAUAAUAAAACAGCUGAAACCCAUAGACUUCGAGAAAGAACUAGAGUGGCUGAAGAAGUUUGUAUCUUCUAUGGAUUCUCCAGUGGUGUUCUGCCAUAAUGACUUGCAAGAAGGAAAUAUUUUGUUACUCGAGGACGAAAUCCAACCCACGGAGGACGAUGACUACGUCAACUAUGACUCAAAGACCUCCAAAUACGUUAUGACGCAGUUCGAUGACCAAAACACGUCAGACUCAAUCACCAGUCAGAUAUCUGACACGGGGGAACCCAGACUGGUGUUGAUAGACUUCGAAUACUGCGCCUACAACCACAGAGGGUUCGACAUUGCCAACCAUUUCCAAGAAUGGGCGUACGAUUAUACCAACCCGAAGCAUCCGUUCUAUUAUGAAAAUCUGGACAAUCUACCCACAUUGGAACAAAAGCUCCUGCUAAAAAUGGCUGCCAGUUUGGACCAUAGGGCAAACCAUAGAGCAUAGACAUAACGGGGAAAAUGUCACGAUGUCUAUGGUUACAUGGCGGUUAUCUUCGGGAUGGAUUUACAAGGAGGAUCUAAGUUUAUAAUUUUAUUUUAUAGACUUUUUAAAAACAAUUUGCAAACGUUGUUUUUGAGGGAUUGCAAUCUGCAUGGCUCCGGUUGGAUUUUUCAAUCUAAACAUCAUAAAAUAUUUUUUUCAAAAAUUACUACAGUUAUAUUUUAUUAGUAUUUAUGUUAUUAUUUUACAUACUUUAUUUAUUUCUAAUCGAUAGUAAUUAUAGUCAGAAUUUGAUAAUAAUAUUACAAAACUACAAAACACGACUCAUUUUGGUAAUUAAACUGAUAAACAUGUAAUACCGGAUCUAUUUUACGGAUUGCAAUCUCUCGUCACGUUUUUUAAAUGAUAAAAAAUUACCUGCACUUUAUUGAUUACUCUAAUGAUUAGUUUUCUUAUGUUUUUACCAUAAUAUUCAGAAUAACGCGAUAUUACGCGUUGUUUUAAACUAAAUGCGUUUCACAUCGACAGCGCAUCUUGCUAAAAAGUAAUAAAAUAUAUGUACUCGUACGUUAUAAUAAUGGAAUUUACUACUUUAAGAAUUUUUUUAACAUAGAUACAAACGUAUUCUAGUCUACACUUAAUUCUAUUCUUCCGAAUAAGCAUGAUUAUAGUCAAGAAGAUAUGGCAAAUUUAUUUUAUAAUUUUCAGUUCAGCAUAAAGUUAUCUGUGUACAUAUAUUAUGUUAAAUUUCACAGAGUUUUUUAUGCAUUUUUUUUUUAAUUUAGAUAUUUUAGUCAUAGAUCUAUCGCAGUAAAUAUAAAAAACAAUAACUUUAUUUUCCAUGAAAAAAAGAAUCUCAAUUUAAUAAAUAUUCUACAGUGUGCAAAUGCGCAAAGCAUAUUGUCGUAGUGUAAAUAUAAUCUAAUAUUUUUUCGUGAUCGAAGAGUAUUAAAAAACAAUAGCAUAUUUUUAAUGUUUAAGAUCUUUUUCAUAAAAGUAUGUAAAUUUUCAGGAGAUAUUCAUCAAGGAGUACCUAAAGCAUUACCACACCAAUCUCUCGGAGGAUAAGAACCACGUGCACGAUCCGUCCAUAGACGAGAUAAACCAGCUGCUCAACGAAGUGGAGGGGUUCACUCUGGUCACGCAUCUACUCUGGUGUCUAUGGUCUAUUGUCAACGCUUCCAAGAGUCAGAUACCUUUUGGAUACUGGGAGUUCGCUCUCUGCCGGAAAGAGCACUACAUGAGUUUG